rnacentral:misc_RNA from 1 species
UCGAUGAGAGCGUUGUGGAUCCUGUGUCGGGUGGUUUCCUGUGUCGGGCUAGGGGUGGAGAUGUUCGGGUCCCCAGCCGAUGGCAGUGUGAUGUUUGCCACUAUGAUUGUGAACAAUUUUUAUCAGUGCUCUCGACUUUGUGUGGUCACUGGCGGGUGCCAGGCCCGAAAAUAUGACGCCGAGUUCCGCGAGUGCCAUCUGUACAUGGCGCCAGAACACAUCACCCCCAGGGUCCCUGAUGGUGACAGCCUAUCCCAGGAGGACACAGCAGAUAAGGUGUCACCGAGCCCUUGUCGGGGUCGCCCUUGCAGGAAGGAUCAGAUCUGUGUUGUUGCUGCGUCGGGGGAUGGCCACGUGUGCUUGUCAGGAUCCGAUUGCGGCCGCCCCCCGCUGCGACCUACAUUGGUUAUGGCAGGAUGGAACGAAAGCUACUUUGGGGCAUUGAGUGUGUACACGUGCGAGCUGGGUCACAACAAGACAGGGGGCAGCGGGGUCACUGUUUGUCAGGACAGAGGGCAGUGGUCACCUCCGACACUACAGUGUAUAGGUAAACAUACUACGAUGUACAGGUAAACAUAAUUACUGUGUACAGGUAAACAUCACUACAGUGUACAGGUAAACAUACUACGAUGUACAGGUAAACAUAACUACAGUGUACAAAUAAACAUCCCAGCAAUGUACAGGUUAACAUCACUACUGUGUGCAGGUAAACAUCACUACAGUGCACAAGUAAACAUUACUACAGUGUACAGGUGAACAUCACUACAGUGUACAGGUUAACAUCACUACUGUGUGCAGGUAAACAUCACUACAGUUUAGAGGUAAACAUUACUACUGUGUGCAGGUAAACAUCACUACAGUGUACAGGUAAACAUCACUACAGUGUACAGGUAAACAUUACUACUGUGUGCAGGUAAACAUUACUACAGUGUUCAGGUGAACAUUACUACAGUGUACAAAUAAACAUCCCAGCAAUGUACAGGUUAACAUCACUACUGUGUGCAGGUAAACAUCACUGCAGUGUGCAGGUAAACAUCACUACAGUGUACAGGUGAACAUUACUACAGUGUACAUGUGAACAUUACCACUGUUUAUAUGUGAACAUUGCUGUUAUAUACAGGUAAACAUAACUACAUGUACUGUGUACAGGUAAACAUCAGUACAAUGUCCGGGUAAACAUCACUACAUGACAUGACAUCUGCUAUUGCCACGGAGUUGUGCUCCAAUAAAGUGAUAAAGAAAACGUGGUAAAAGGUUCACGGGCUAUUAAAUAACUACUAAUUGUACUUAUAGUUGACAAUUACAAAUAAAUCCACUCUGCUCUCACACAGAUCACAAAUUAAUUCUAUCAGCGCAAAUAUACAACCACGUUUUAGCUAAACAACUGUAUUACAGCUAUAAAAAUGAAGGUAGCUAAAACAACAAUGUGACAAGCUAUGGACCGGGAGCGUCGACUGCCAAUUGUCGGUUGCGACCAGUUAACACCUGAGUCAAAGAACUCCACACUGUAAUGAGUAAAUAAACUCGGCUCAGUAAACAAAGGUGAAAUAUACACCAAGAAAUUAUCCCAAAAAUGAGUCACUUCGACUACAAAAAUCGACUACAGUUUCUGUCACUUUGACUGAACAAAGAAACACUAAAGUUCCAAAAUUGUUAGUUAAUCACGGGAAAGUUGGUUAUCCAUGGAUUACUAGAAUAACUGAGUAUUAUGGACACUAGUUACUAAGAGUUUAGAAAUCACGGGAAAGUUGGUUAUCCACGGAUACUAGAAAAACAGAGUAUUACAAACCCUAGUAACUACGUUUAGUUCAGUGUAACCAGACUAAGUCAGAAUAUAGAUCGAAAAAAGCCCGUACCCUCUUACGACCGUGACCACUCCAGUAGCGAGACAAUCGUGAACGAUUUAACGAAGCCUGGAGGGUGAAGAUACGAGAUCAAGAAAGUCUAAAUAUACGGCGCACGCGGACGUCGGAGGCGACAUCCUGUCGAGGAACGCCGUAGAAUACAACUGACUGAGGGGGCAAGCCAACGUGUUUCUAAACACGGGGAAAACGCAAAUAGCAAAUUAACUACUAUAUCUACACUGGAGAGUUUCAAAAUAAAGCGCUGAACAGAAGAUAUCCAACGGUAUCAUUAAAGAUUCACGACAAGAUAUGUUAAAUUAUUGACGAGGCAAAAGAUUUUAGAACAAUAUUUUCAGUAGAAGAAUAUAGUAGUGAACAUAUGAGAGACAACAUAAUCCAGUCAUUACAUGGUUUGAGAGUGUCAUGAGUACAAGAGAGAAAAAUAGUUGGGCCACUAAUUCUCUAACACCAAAUGACAACAAACUGUACAAUGACAGCCGCCGGAAUUUACCGAACAGUGUCGGUACUUACGUCGGGGACCGUGAUAUGGGUAAAAUUGAUCCACGGUGACACUAUGAAUAAGAGCAGUAAAAGUUGUAAACAGUGAGAGAGAGAGAGAGAGAGAGAGAGAGAGAGAGAGAGACACAGAGCCCAGCGUCCAGAUGACCACCACAUUCAACACGACGGUGACCUUCACGUGUUCUGCUGGCUACAGGAACCAUGGCGGGGACGACACCAUCACCUGUCAGGCGAACGGACAGUGGUCAUCAACAUCGUUGGACUGCCAAGCGGUGGUUUGUAGGAUUCCUGCCGCAAGAAACAACACAGAGCCCAGCGUCCAGAUGACCACCACAUUCAACACGACGGUGACCUUCACGUGUUCUCCUGGCUACAGGAACCAUGGCGGGGACGACACCAUCACCUGUCAGGCGAACGGACAGUGGUCAUCAACAUCGUUGGACUGCCAAGCGGUGGAUUGUGGGAUUCCUGCCGCAAGAAACAACACAGAGCCCAGCGUCCAGAUGACCACCACAUUCAACACGACGGUGACCUUCACGUGUUCUCCUGGCUACAGGAACCAUGGCGGGGACGACACCAUCACCUGUCAGGCGAACGGACAGUGGUCAUCAACAUCGUUGGACUGCCAAGCGGAGGAUUGUAGGAUUCCUGCCGCAAGAAACAACACAGAGCCCAGCGUCCAGAUGACCACCACAUUCAACACGACGGUGACCUUCACGUGUUCUGCUGGCUACAGGAACCAUGGCGGGGACGACACCAUCACCUGUCAGGCGAACGGACAGUGGUCAUCAACAUCGUUGGACUGCCAAGCGGUGGAUUGUGGGAUUCCUGCCGCAAGAAACAACACAGAGCCCAGCGUCCAGAUGACCACCACAUUCAACACGACGGUGACCUUCACGUGUUCUCCUGGCUACAGGAACCAUGGCGGGGACGACACCAUCACCUGUCAGGCGAACGGACAGUGGUCAUCAACAUCGUUGGACUGCCAAGCGGAGGAUUGUAGGAUUCCUGCCGCAAGAAACAACACAGAGCCCAGCGUCCAGAUGACCACCACAUUCAACACGACGGUGACCUUCACGUGUUCUGCUGGCUACAGGAACCAUGGCGGGGACGACACCAUCACCUGUCAGGCGAACGGACAGUGGUCAUCAACAUCGUUGGACUGCCAAGCGGUGGAUUGUAGGAUUCCUGCCGCAAGAAACAACACAGAGCCCAGCGUCCAGAUGACCACCACAUUCAACACGACGGUGACCUUCACGUGUUCUCCUGGCUACAGGAACCAUGGCGGGGACGACACCAUCACCUGUCAGGCGAACGGACAGUGGUCAUCAACAUCGUUGGACUGCCAAGCGGUGGAUUGUGGGAUUCCUGUCGCAAGAAACAACACAGAGCCCAGCGUCCAGAUGACCACCACAUUCAACACGACGGUGACCUUCACGUGUUCUGCUGGCUACAGGAACCAUGGCGGGGACGACACCAUCACCUGUCAGGCGAACGGACAGUGGUCAUCAACAUCGUUGGACUGUCGAGUCAUCCCCAACUGGAUCACGACGAAGACGCUGUCUGCUGGUCCGGCGAAGUUGACGUGUACUGACAGGAUGUCCCCGGCCGGCAGUCUGGUGUCGGUGUCCUGUGAGGCUGAUGAGAUGCUGAUAGGCUGCUCCUCAAAAUCUGCGUCUUCAAGUGGCAAAGUCAACGGCGUCAAAAUAGUCAUGGUCAAGGGCACUCCUUUCUGCCAAAUUGACAUAACGAGCACAACUGGCGCCUCAGCACAGUACGCCUCUGCUAGAUGCUGUAAACAGGACGGACUACAGUGUGAAUACCUCACUGAUGGACCAUCUAAGAACAUCAAUGAUGCACAUGUUCAGUCGGAAUGUUUCAAGUCCUUUCAAGUCAUGGGAUGUGGUGUGCAUCAGCCUAAUGGUUAUCUGGAUGGCGUAGAGAUCAACCCCAGUUACUGCCGUGCAUACGCCGGGGGUUUCUCAGUUACAGGGCUCCGGAUCUCUCGUGUAGCGUACACUCUGCAAAGCCUCAACCUGUGAGCGGACUGCUGAAGGCGACGUGUCCCGACGGCUUCACCCUCACUGGAUGUGGAGGAUACAGUCCAUGGAAAGAAGCACGAGGCUCAUAUAUAGCAGACGACGGGGGUAUCCCGACAUGCCACGUGGAGAGUGAGACUGACAGGCCUGGCCGAACUACCGUAUUCU